UUUUAUCUCGCUUAAUGUUCAACUUCAAAUAGCUAGUUGUGGUGAAUAGCGUUCAUAUCGUUGUUUGUAUUUGGUAUUUUUUUUUUUUUUGGUAUGCUACGAUGAGAUCACAGUUACAUAUACAUACAAACGCACACGUAUUACACUAACACUUCAUGCCAAUUUGAAGCGUGCACACGUGUAUGUGCGUGUGUAUUUGUGUUUGUAUCGUAUUGUAUUGUUGUUCAAGUCAAAUUGAAAACAUCAGAUGAAACUUGUUGACAAGCAUGAACACAGUCGGGUUUCACAUUGACUUCACUGUUGAUAUGUACUUUCAAUACGCCUUACGCUUAUUUUUAACAUUAAAUAAUUUCCAAAAAAUAUGAACGAACCCAAUAAAUCAAAAGCGCCCAUAACAGAUCAACCGCGAUAUAAUGCGGACAGUGCAAGAGAUACAGUGGAUUCUAAUGACAGAGGUCUAAGUCAAGCAGACGAUUCUUGUUAUGUGGAUUGUUGUGUUUGCUGUGCUCAAACAUGCAACCAAUGCAAUGAUAGUAUGGUCAGCUGGCUAUUUUGCAUCGAUUUCUGGCAAAUUUUUUGCAAUGUCGAUUGCUGUGUACCGUGCUGUGAUGCACUCUGUGCGUGUUGUCAUCCAGACUGUUGUGCCGCCCUUUGACAUCUCGGAUGUGUUGUUCAGUAUAGCAACGCUCAAAAUUAUGCACAUUCAAAUAUGAGACAUAUGACUAAGGGUCUCAGAUAAGAAAAUCUGAGCGGUUAUGAUGUUGACUAUUGGAGAAAUGAAAGCCUUGCAUAGGACAUAUUCUCACAACAACUUAAACACAUUUCAACCCACAAAAAUGCAUUAAGCAUCUUCCUAUCGUUCCAUUGUUGAGUGAUAUUUUUUAUAUUACCAAUCGUUUGUACAAAAAUAAAAGAUAAAUCUUUUUUUUUCUAAA